GCAAGUCGAACGAUGACGGUGGUGCUUGCACCGCCUGAUUAGUGGCGAACGGGUGAGUAACACGUGAGUAACCUGCCCUCCACUUCGGGAUAACCUCGCGAAAUCGUGGCUAAUACCGGAUAUGAGCACUCAUCGCAUGGUGGGUGUUGGAAAGAUUUAUCGGUGGGGGAUGGACUCGCGGCCUAUCAGUUUGUUGGUGAGGUGAUGGCUCACCAAGACGAUGACGGGUAGCCGGACUGAGAGGUUGGCC
rnacentral:rRNA from 1 species